rnacentral:lncRNA from 1 species
CUUAGAUCUGUCCUGAGCAGAGAACGGGAAGAGACAGAGUGGCUGUUGACAAGGACCGCCCGUAUGAAAAUGAACUGUUUUGGUUUUGAGAGAAGGUCCUGUUCUGUAGCCCAGACCGGUCUUGAACUUGUUGUAUAGGCUAAACUGACUUUGGAUUGGUGGUGGUCUUCUUGCCAUCCUCCAACUGCUGACAUUCCAAGCAAGUGUUCCCAUCAUCUGCCAUGCCAGAUAAAAUCCCCUGUGCAGUGCUGGGAUCACUCCAGGACGAGAAGAAGAUGGAGCAGGUUGUGCCUGG